UGGGGAAUCUUCCGCAAUGGGCGCAAGCCUGACGGAGCAACGCCGCGUGAGUGAGGAAGUUCUUCGGAACGUAAAGCUCUGUUGUUCCUGACGAACCUCCCUUCUAUCAACAACGGAAGGGACUGACGUUAGGGAACGAGGAAGCCACGGCGAACGACGUGCCAGCAGCCGCGGUAAUACGUAGGGGGCAAGCGUUGUCCGGAAUUAUUGGGCGUAAAGCGCAUGUAGGCGGUAAUUUAAGUCUGUCGUGAAACUGCGGGGCUCAGCCCCGUAUGGCGAUGGAAACUGGGUUACUUGAGUGCAGGAGAGGAAAGGGGAACUCCCAGUGUAGCGGUGAAAUGCGUAGAUAUUGGGAAGAACACCGGUGGCGAAGGCGCCUUUCUGGACUGUGUCUGACGCUGAGAUGCGAAAGCCAGGGUAGCGAACGGG
rnacentral:rRNA from 2 species